rnacentral:rRNA from 1 species
UAGGGAAUCUUCCGCAAUGGGCGAAAGCCUGACGGAGCAACGCCGCGUGAGUGAUGAAGGUCUUCGGAUCGUAAAACUCUGUUAUUAGGGAAGAACAAAUGUGUAAGUAACUAUGCACGUCUUGACGGUACCUAAUCAGAAAGCCACGGCUAACUACGUGCCAGCAGCCGCGGUAAUACGUAGGUGGCAAGCGUUAUCCGGAUUUAUUGGGCGUAAAGCGAGCGCAGGCGGUCAAUUAAGUCUGAUGUGAAAGCCCCCGGCUCAACCGGGGAGGGUCAUUGGAAACUGGUUGACUUGAGUGCAGAAGAGGAGAGUGGAAUUCCAUGUGUAGCGGUGAAAUGCGUAGAUAUAUGGAGGAACACCAGUGGCGAAGGCGACUCUCUGGUCUGUAACUGACGCUGAGGCUCGAAAGCGUGGGUAGCAAACAGG